GGGGCUUAGAAAAUGACUAGCUUGUCCUUUGUAAAAAUUAAUUCGAAACUGGAAAUCUCAAUUUUGGGCCUCGGCGCGACGCGCCACAAUCGCGGUGGCUUAUUGGAAAAAGGACAAUUGUCAUUUUGGCCUCUGGCACGACAUGGUGAAAACACAUUGUGUCACUGAAAAAGAACGAGUGCCAUUUUGCAUCCCACCGUGAUGCGGUGUCUGUCCAAUUGAGAUUUUUGGUGCGAUACCUGCUAAUCGCGGUGAGCUACUGGAAUGGGAUGAACAGGAACUGGAGCUUCUCCGCGCCGCGUGCUAAUCACGAUGCUUCACUGGAAAUCGGACAGCUGUGAACUUGUCCUUUACCACAGCGCGAUGCUUAUCGCGAUGCCCAACUGUUUUCACUAAAAUGACCAUAACUUCUCAAUCGAGUAUCGAAUUAAUGAGAAAUUGGUAUUAUUAAAAAAAUGAUUCAAUUAUUUACACAUUGAUGGGUCUAGAGCUGGAAAAUUUUAUAUGCAUCGGAGUUAUAUACUUUCAACGCUAACCCUUGACACACU
rnacentral:lncRNA from 1 species